GAAAAGUUAGUUAACCCAUCAAUAACAUGGCCUUGUCAUGGCCAAAUCACCUCAAUUCAGGUACUUUUUA
rnacentral:tRNA from 1 species